UACGGAGGGUGCUAGCGUUGUUCGGAAUUACUGGGCGUAAAGCGCGUGUAGGCUGUUAGAUAAGUUGGGAGUGAAAUCCCAGGGCUUAACCCUGGAAUUGCUUUCAAAACUAUCUAGCUAGAGUUUGGUAGGGGAUGGCGGAAUUCCUAGUGUAGAGGUGAAAUUCGUAGAUAUUAGGAGGAACAUCAGAGGCGAAGGCGGCCAUCUGGACCAAUACUGACGCUGAGACGCGAAAGCGUGGGGAGCAAACAGG
rnacentral:rRNA from 1 species